UUAUUGCAAUUUUAGACAGACAUUUUAAUAGCUUUAGUUUGGUUUUCACACAAACAUAUUUCCUUUUAGUAAGCCUUAUUUGUUGUAUAUAGAUUACGUAAGAAGUUAUCGGACAAUGGUCAGAAUGUGUUGACAGAUAUGAUUUUUAAUGUGAAGCCGACAUGUAAUAAGAUGUAUUUCGGAUUAUUUCUAUUGUUAAUGUCCGGCUCAAAUCUGAUAUAGAGUAAACAUUGAUAGCAAGAUUACAUAAGUAAUUAAGAUAUUUUUUAGUCAUACACGUCACCUAUGACCCCACCUAUUUUCUGUCAAUUAGACUAAAGUUGUCAUGGUUUUUGAUUAAAUGUUAAUUUUGAUUGGACAACCUGAAACAGUCCCCAAAUUCGAAUGUAAAAAGUUAAUUCCAAAAAGCGCCACUUUUACAUGCGCUCUUUGGAAAUAAAGACAUAAAACUAUUUCAAGUUUUAUUGAAUAUUGUUUCAGGUAAGCAAUGUUAAUUUAAUUUUGUUAAAUAUGAUUUAAAGCAUUCAGUUUAAAGGUUUUCAUUACCUAAAAGUAACUUCUUAUAAAGUUAUUAAUUUGCUAAUG
rnacentral:lncRNA from 1 species